AUGCCUGCUCUGGCCACACAUAGUAGAUUGGAACAAUACAUAGAAGAUUAGUGUGGCCCAUGCAAGAAUGACAUGAAAAUUCCUGAAAUGUUCCAGUGAUUA